rnacentral:rRNA from 1 species
AACGAACGCUGGCGGCAUGCCUAACACAUGCAAGUCGAACGAUCCCUUCGGGGAUAGUGGCGCACGGGUGCGUAACGCGUGGGAACCUGCCCUUAGGUUCGGAAUAACUCAGAGAAAUUUGAGCUAAUACCGGAUAAUGUCUUCGGACCAAAGAUUUAUCGCCUUUGUAUGGGCCCGCGUUGGAUUAGCUAGUUGGUGGGGUAAAGGCCUACCAAGGCGACGAUCCAUAGCUGGUCUGAGAGGAUGCUCAGCCACACUGGGACUGAGACACGGCCCAGACUCCUACGGGAGGCAGCAGUGGGGAAUAUUGGACAAUGGGCGAAAGCCUGAUCCAGCAAUGCCGCGUGAGUGAUGAAGGCCUUAGGGUUGUAAAGCUCUUUUACCCGGGAUGAUAAUGACAGUACCGGGAGAAUAAGCCCCGGCUAACUCCGUG